GGCUGGGUGGCUCAGUUGGUUGGAGUGUUGACCUGAUGAGCCAAGGUUGCAGGUUCAAUCCCCAGUCA
rfam:Myotis brandtii contig306951, whole genome shotgun sequence.